rnacentral:rRNA from 1 species
ACUACGGGUGGCUGCAGUGGGGAAUAUUGGGCAAUGGGCGCAAGCCUGACCCAGCAACGCCGCGUGAAGGAAGAAGGCUUUCGGGUUGUAAACUUCUUUUCUCAGGGACGAAGCAAGUGACGGUACCUGAGGAAUAAGCCACGGCUAACUACGUGCCAGCAGCCGCGGUAAUACGUAGGUGGCAAGCGUUAUCCGGAUUUACUGGGUGUAAAGGGCGUGUAGGCGGGAAAGCAAGUCAGAUGUGAAAACCAUGGGCUCAACCUGUGGCCUGCAUUUGAAACUGUUUUUCUUGAGUACUGGAGAGGCAGACGGAAUUCCUAGUGUAGCGGUGAAAUGCGUAGAUAUUAGGAGGAACACCAGUGGCGAAGGCGGUCUGCUGGACAGCAACUGACGCUGAGGCGCGAAAGCGUGGGGAGCAAACAGGAUUAGAUACCCUAGUAGUC